rnacentral:rRNA from 1 species
AUACGUAGGGGGCAAGCGUUAUCCGGAUUUACUGGGUGUAAAGGGAGCGUAGACGGUAAAGCAAGUCUGAAGUGAAAGCUCGGGGCUCAACCCCGGAACUGCUUUGGAAACUGUUUUACUGGAGUGCAGGAGAGGUAAGCGGAAUUCCUAGUGUAGCGGUGAAAUGCGUAGAUAUUAGGAGGAACACCAGAGGCGAAGGCGGCUUACUGGACUGUAACUGACGUUGAGGCUCGAAGGCGUGGGGAGCAAACAGGAUUAGAUACCCUGGUAGUCCACGCGGUAAACGAUGAUCACUAGGUGUCGGCGGCCAUAGGCGGUCGGUGCCGCAGCAAACGCAAUAAGUGAUCCACCUGGGGAGUACGUUCGCAAGAAUGAAACUCAAAUGAAUUGACGGGG